rnacentral:rRNA from 1 species
UGGGGAAUUUUGGACAAUGGGCGCAAGCCUGAUCCAGCCAUGCCGCGUGCAGGAUGAAGGCCCUCGGGUUGUAAACUGCUUUUGUACGGAACGAAAAGCCUCUUUCUAAUAAAGAGGGGUGAUGACGGUACCGUAAGAAUAAGCACCGGCUAACUACGUGCCAGCAGCCGCGGUAAUACGUAGGGUGCGAGCGUUAAUCGGAAUUACUGGGCGUAAAGCGUGCGCAGGCGGUCUUGCAAGACAGUGGUGAAAUCCCCGGGCUCAACCUGGGAACUGCCAUUGUGACUGCAAGGCUGGAGUACGGCAGAGGGUGAUGGAAUUCCGCGUGUAGCAGUGAAAUGCGUAGAUAUGCGGAGGAACACCGAUGGCGAAGGCAGUCCCCUGGGCCUGUACUGACGCUCAUGCACGAAAGCGUGGGGAGCAAACA